UACGGAGGAUCCGAGCGUUAUCCGGAUUUAUUGGGUUUAAAGGGUGCGCAGGCGGAAGAUUAAGUCGGUGGUGAAAUUUUGCAGCUCAACUGUAAAAGUGCCAUUGAUACUGGUUUUCUUGAGUGUGGAUGAAGUAGGCGGAAUUUGUGGUGUAGCGGUGAAAUGCAUAGAUAUCAUGAGGAACUCCGAUUGCGCAGGCAGCUUACUAAACCAUAACUGACGCUCAGGCACGAAGGCGUGGGGAGUCAAACAGGAUUAGAUA
rnacentral:rRNA from 1 species